rnacentral:tRNA from 1 species
GCCGGGGUGGCCGAGGAUUUAGGCGACGGCCUGCAGAGCUGUUUACGUUGGUGAAAAUCCAACCCCCGGCUCCA